UUAAUUGAAGCCAAAAAGAGGCUUAUCACUGUUAAUGAUAGAACUGAGAUUUUCUCCAAUUAAA
rnacentral:tRNA from 1 species